rnacentral:rRNA from 1 species
GCGAAUUCGCCCUUCCCUAUGGGGUGCAGCAGUUAGGAGUAAUCUACAAUGCACGCAAGUGUGAUAGUUUGAGCCAGAGUGUUUUUCAAUGAAAAACUUUUGUGAAAUGUAAAAAGUUUCACGAAUAAGGACUGGGUAAGACUAGUGCCAGCCGCCGCGGUAAUACUAGCGGUCCAAGUCGCAGCCAUUAUUAUUGGGUCUAAAACAUCCGUAGCUUGCUUUAUAAGUUCCUUGUGAAAUUCUGUAUCUUAAAUACAGAGCGUGCAGGGAAUACUGUAUAGCUAGAGACUGGGAGACGUAAGAAGUACGUCUAAAGUAGUGGUAAAAUACGUUAAUCUUAGACGGACUCACAAUAGCGAAGGCAUCUUACGAGAACAGAUCUGACAGUCAGGGAUGAAGGCUAGGGGCGCAAAACGGAUUAGAUACCCGUGUAGUCCUAGCAGUAAACACUGCACACUAAACAUCGGGACCUCCUCGAGAGGUUUCGGUGCUGCAGGGAAGCCGAAGAGUGUGCUACCUGGGAAGUAUAGCCGCAAGGCCGAAACUUAAAGGAAUUGGCGGGGAGACACUACAACGGGUGACGCGUGCGGUUCAAUUAGAUUAUACACCGUGAACCUCACCAGGAGCGACAGCAGGAUGAAGGUCAGUCUAAAGGGCUUACCUGACACGCUGAGAGGAGGUGCAUGGCC